CCGCCGCGGAGGAGGAGGAGGAGCCAGCGCAGGCAUGGCGUCCAUCUUACUGAGGAGCUGCCGGGCCGGGGCCCGCCCGCCUCCCGCCGCCGCCUCAGGUCACCGCCCCGCGGGGUAGUCGGGAGGAUCCAGCUCAUCUCAGCUGUGCCAACAUCCUAGGGUUGAGGAGCUGCCUGAAAGUUCCAUUUGGCUGCUGUACUCGCAUCCAUCCUGUGUAUCCGUCCUUCAGAGGCGAUCACCUCAGCUGUUGCGCUCUGAGGCCCGAGUGCCUUCGCACGGCGUGGAGAGCGCCAUGGACCCCACCUCUGUGGGUUCUGUGGUCCCGGGGCCUCGGUGCCUUCCUGUGUGCGGAUGGCACUCUUCGCGCCCUGUUGGCGAUGACUCAAUAGUAGUGAAGUCCCUCAAGUCCUUGAAGGACAAGAACAAGAAGGUGGGGGAAGGCGGCCUGCUGUACGGCGCCCCCGCAGAGGUGGUGGUGAUCCUGGGGGCAGAGGGUGCUGGGCGAGCUGAGGCACUACCACCAUGGCUUCCGCCUGCUAAGAUCGACACCAAGAUGGCGGCACGCAUGCUCCGGCGCAUCCUCAAGGGUCACACCCUGACCCGCGGGCAGGCAGGCAGUUCCUCCUGAUCUGCGCCCAUCUCUUCCACCUGGUGCGUGUUAGCAGUGGUGCUGUUUGUGGAGUUUCUGCUGCCUGUUGCUGUAAAACUCUUCCCCAAUAUGUUGCCAUCCACAUCUGAGACUCAGUUCACCGAGGAGGAGAGGCUGAAGAAGGAGCUUUGGGUCAAGCUGGAGCUGGCCAAGUUCCUCCAGGACACCAUUGAGAUGGCCUUGAAGAACAAGGCAGCCAAGGGCAGCGCCACCAAAGAAUUGUUUUUGUUUUUUGUUUUUCCAGAAGAUCCGGGAGACGGGGGAGAGCCCCAGCAAUGAGAAAAUCAUGCGUUUUUCCAAAUUAUUUGAGAAUGAGCUGACCCUGGACAACCUGAUACAGCUGCAGCUGGUGGCCCUUUGCAAGCUGCUCCAGCUACAGCUUCCUGCGCUUCCAGCUCACCAUGCGGCUGCACUCCAUAAAGGCAGAGGACAAGCUGAUUGCUGAGGAAGGGGUCGACAGCCUGAACGUCAAGGAGCUGCAGGUGGCAUGUCAGGCACGAGGCAUGUGGGCCCUGGGCGUCACGGAAAACCAGCUGAGGGGUCAGCUGAAGCAGUGGCUGGACCUGUACCUGCAUCAGGAGAUCCCUACAUCGCUGCUCAUCCUGUCCCUGACCAUGUACCUCCCGGACACCCUCUCACCAGCCGACCAACUCAAGUCCACACUGCAGACCCUCCCAGAGAUUGUGGCAAAGGAAGCGCAGGUGAAAGUGGCCGAGGUGGAGGGCGAGCAGGUGGACAACAAGGCUAAGCUGGAGGCCACACUGCAGGAGGAGGUGGCCAUCCAGCAGGAGCACCGUGAGAGGAAGCUGCAGAAGCACUCCAAGCGGCGAAGGAUGUUGAGCCCAAACAUGUGGAAGCCGCUCCCCAAAGGCCAGGGGUCCAGCCACAGCCAGAAGUGCCUGACACAGUCCUGCAGUCAGAGAUCCUGAAGGACACUGCCCCCAUGCUGGAGGGCUUGAAGGAGGAAGAGAUCACUAAGGAGGAAAUCAACAUUCUCAGGGAUGCCUGCUCUAAGCUGCAGGAACAGAAGUCACUCACCAAGGAGGAGGAGGAGCUGGAGCAGCUGAAGGAGGACAUGCAGAACUACAGCGAGGACUUGAAGGAGGUCAAGAAGGAACUUUCAAAGACUGGCGAAGAAAAAUACAUGGAAGAAUCUAAAGCCAGCAAGAGACUGACAAAAAGGGUGCAGCAGAUGACGGGCAGAUCAACAGCUUGAUCUCGCAGCUGGAGAUGGACCAGCAGGCCAGCAAGUUGGCCCCAGCCAAGGGCGUGCCCACGGGGGAGAAUGUCAUCAGUGUUGCCUAGCUCAUCAAUGCCUUGAAGCAAGUCAAGCACAUUCCCGAAAGCAAGCUCACCAGCCUGGCCACAGCACUGGAUGAAAAUAAGGAUGGAAAUAAGGAUGGCAAGGUCGACUUCAACCACCUUGUCAAGGUGAUUGAGCUGGUGGAUAAAGAAGAUGUUCACGUCUGCACCAGCCAGGUGGCCGAGAUUGUAGCAACACUGGAAAAAGAGAAGGUGGAGAAGGAGAAAGCCAAGGAGAAGGUGGAGAAGGAAGUCGCAGAGGUGAAGAGCUAG